CGUGUAGGCGGCAUAGUAAGUCAGAUGUGAAAGCCCUCGGCUUAACCGAGGAAGUGCAUUUGAAACUGCUAAGCUAGAGUACGGGAGAGGGUUGUAGAAUUCCCGGUGUAGAGGUGAAAUUCGUAGAUAUCGGGAGGAAUACCGGUGGCGAAGGCGGCAGCCUGGACCGAUACUGACGCUGAGACGCGAAAGCGUGGGUAGCAAACAGGAUUAGAUACCCUGGUAGUCC
rnacentral:rRNA from 1 species